UACGGAGGGUGCGAGCGUUGUCCGGAAUCAUUGGGCGUAAAGGGCGCGUAGGUGGCCCGGUCAGUUCGUGGUGAAAGCGCGGGGCUCAACUCCGCGUCGGCCAUGAAUACUGCUGGGCUUGAGCACUGUAGAGGGAUGCAGAAUUCCAGGUGUAGCGGUGAAAUGCGUAGAUAUCUGGAGGAAUACCGGUGGCGAAGGCGGCAUCCUGGACCGAGAUUGACGCUGAACGGCGAAAGCUAGGGGAGCAAACAGG
rnacentral:rRNA from 1 species